rnacentral:tRNA from 1 species
CCCUGGAGGACUAGUGGUUAAGCCACAGUGCUCUCAUCGCUGAGGCCUGGGUUUGAACCCCAGCCACUGGGG